AAUACCAGCACCCCGAGUGGUCGGGACGAUUAUUGGGCCUAAAGCAUCCGUAGCCGGCCCAGUAAGUCCUCCGUUAAAUCCAACGGCUCAACCGUUGGGCUGCGGGGGAUACUGCUGGGCUAGGGGACGGGAGAGGCGAGGGGUAUUCCCGGGGUAGGGGUAAAAUCCACUGAUCCCGGGAGGACCACCAGUGGCGAAGGCGCCUCGCUAGAACGUGCCCGACGGUGAGGGAUGAAAGCUGGGGGAGCGAACCGGAUUAGAUACCCGGGUAGUCCCAGCCGUAAACGAUGUAGGCUCGGUGUUGGGCUGCCUCAGUGGCAGCCCAGUGCCGCAGGGAAGCCGUUAAGCCUACCGCCUGGGGAGUACGGCCGCAAGGCU
rnacentral:rRNA from 1 species